UACGUAGGGGGGCUAGCGUUGUCCGGAAUCAUUGGGCGUAAAGAGCGUGUAGGCGGUCCGGUAAGUCCGCUGUGAAAGUCGGGGGGCUCAACCCUGGGAUGCCGGUGGAUACUGUCGGGCUCGAGUCCGGAAGAGGCGAGUGGAAUUCCUGGUGUAGCGGUGAAAUGCGUAGAUAUCUGGAGGAACACCGGUGGCGAAGGCGGCAUCCUGGACCGGUAUUGACACUGAGGCGCGAAAGCCAGGGAGCAAACGGG
rnacentral:rRNA from 1 species